rnacentral:lncRNA from 1 species
AUUAUUCUCAUAAUAUAUUAAUAAUAUUUAUUCUCUCAUAAUAAAUCAUCCUAUCAAGUUGCUAUGGUGAAGGCAACCCAAAAGGACCAUGCACAAUCGGGUCAAAUACUUGCCUAAUAUAGUUGCAGCCUUAGACACUAUUCCAACUGUCUCCCACUUGGAUAAGUCUAGUAACUAUAUGCACAAGUACAAUUCGAUUUGCAAUCGUAGCUCUCAAAGACGCUGUCAAACUCUGAUCUAAUCAAUCUUGUCCUUUAGAUAAGGGAUCGUACAGUCCUCUGUUAGAUAUCAUGCUGACAAUUCUAUGGAAUGAUUAGUCAAGCAUUUAGGUUUCUCGAUCUCCGAUUUAUUCGACAUAGAACUUAAUCGAACACAUCAAUUCAGUUCUGACNNNNUGACAAUUCUAUGGAACAAUUUGUCUAGCAUUUGGUUUCUCGAUCUCUGAUUUAUUUGACAUAGAACUUAAUCGAGCACAUCAAUUCAGUUCUGACCGGGCCGGCACAUAAGACAAAUCAAAUCAUCGAUCAGCUGAGAUAUUGCUUUUACCUUCUUAGGAUAAAAGUAACAGAUAAACUUC